rnacentral:lncRNA from 1 species
UGUAAAGCCAUAUUGAGAAAGAAAGAAUUUGAAGUGAUCACACAUCCUGAUUCAAAAUACAUUGCAAGGCAAUAGUAAUCAAAACAGUAUGGUGCUGGCAAGAAACAGAGUAAUGGAGGAGAAUUGAGAACUCAGAACUAAAUCCAUACAUAAAAUAUCAAUGAAUAUUUAACAGAGGCCCCAGGAAACACAAUAGGGGAAGGCCAACCUGUUCAAUAAAUGUUGUUUAGAAAACUGGAUAUCCACAGGUGAAAUAAUGAAAUUAGACAAUCAGCUCUCACCAUGUGCAAAAACAAACAAACAAACAAACAAAAAACCCUCAAAAUUAUCAAAGGCUUAAAUAUAAAGCUUCAAACCAUAAAAGUCCUAGAAGAAAACAUAGGAAAAAAUCUCAACACUGGUGUUUGCAAUAAUCUGUUUGAUAACAACAAAAAUAAGAAUAAAUAAAUGGGACUAAGUAAAACAAAAAGUUCUACACAGCAAAGGAAACAAUAAAAUUAAAAAACCACCUGUGAUAUAAGAAAAUAUUUGAAUAUCAUGUAUAUGUAAGGAGAUUAAUAUGAUAAACAUAAGGAACAAAAUAACUAAAAAAAUCAAAAUCAAAUAACCUAAUUAAAAAGUUGCCAAUAGGCCUGAAAAUAUAUUUCUCAAAAUAAGACAUACGAAUGACCAACAUGUAUAUGAGAAGGUGUUCAACAUCACUGAUUAUGAGGAAGAUGCCAAUAUAAACCACAACAAGAUAUCACCUCACAGCUAUUAUGGCUAUUACCAAAAAGACAAGAGAUAGCAAAUACUGGCAAGGGUGUGAAGAAAAUGGAACCAUCAUAUACUGUUGGUAGAAAUGUAAAUGAAUACAAACAUAGUGGAAAACUCUACAGAGGUUUCUAAAAAAUAAAAAAUAUAACUAAUAUUUGACCCUGUGAUCCUACUCCUAUUUAUCCAAAGAAAUGAAAUUAUUAUGUUGGAGAGAUAUUUGCAAUCUAUGUUCUAGUACCAUUAUUCACAAUGUGGAGUCCACCUAAUUGUCCAUAAAUGAAUGAUUGAAUAAAUAAAAUAUAGUAUAUAUGUAAUGGAACAUUAUUAACCCAUACAAAAGAAAUUCUGCCAUUUGUGACAACAUAAAUAAACCUUAGUGAUAUACUGUUAAGAAAAAUAAGUCAGACACAGAAAGACAUUGCAUGAUCUCACUUGGAUGUGAAAUCUAAAAAUAAUAACCUCAAUGAAGCACAGAGUAGAAAAGUGAUUAUCAGGGUCACUUUAACUUAUAAAAUGAAUAAAUUCUUAGGAUUUAAUGUAUAGCAUAUUGAGUCAAGUUAACAAUAAUUGAAUACUUGCACAUAAUAAAGUAUUCUCACCACAAGUACAAAUAUACCCAGUAGCAUUAUGUAAGGUGAUUUUAUGUGUUUUAUGUGCUAAUUAACUCGAUUGUUGUAAUCAUUUCAUAAUGUAUACACUUCAU